GCCUCGUCUCGCCUCUUGCUUUAUUCAAGUCUCUCACCCUCUCCACACACAAACCCUAACAGAGCUGCAUCUUCUUUCUAUCCCUUCCUUCAUCUCUCAUUCUUGCCGGACGGCGCAUCUCACGAUAGGCACUGCCGUAGACGCAUUAAAAGUUUCUGUAUAGGGCUUUUCGAACACACCCACACACAGAAAGAAAAAAAAUCCCCAAUUUGGGAAUAGAGCUAUGCCUACCUCAAAGGAAAUUUGGUUCUUGAAUGUUCUUGUUCCUUCAAUUAUUGUUCCUCUGCUUUUAUCUCUCUUGUUUCUGAACCUUAUGCCAAAGGAAACUGCCAUUAAAUCCUAUGAGAUGUUUGGAGUUGAGAUCGAGAAGAAUCCACCUCUUUCCACACUCAUUGAGCUUGAUGUCACAACCUGAAGGCGAUGUCUGAGUAACUGCUGUGUGAAGUUUAGGAUGUAACCAGGUUUUCUGGUGGUUACUAAAUAUAAUGAAAGGGAUUAAUGGCUGAGCGAUUGUCUUUUGUGCGUGAGUUGGCGACAUGGUGAUGGCCCUGUGAAGAAGGGGAAACAUGAUCUUAAGAAAAGGGGCAGUGUCUGUAUGUGCUUUGAAGCUUUGCUUACUUUUUGUGUUAAGCUGCAAAUGGCCACCAUUUUUCAUGAUAUGGUGAUGCUGGAACAAGUUCAGGAUGUCAUUGGUUUGCCGGUAGAAGUUGUGCUGAAAUAUGUUGACAACACGGGCUAAGUGAUUAAUGGUUGCCUCAAGCGAUUGUGUUAUGAUUAGGACAAAGGUUUUGGAUGUUCUUAACAAGAAGUUGUGUUGGAUCCAUUUCAUACCAUGACCGUUGAUGGAUGACUAAGAAAAGAAAAAAACAAUUAUGUGGAGGAAGGAGAGGAGCAUCAACUUCUUUUGAUUUUGAACUUGAGAGGACUUUCCUAAGAUUAAGGAGAGAAGCAAGGGGCAAGGGGGUUACUGGUGAAGAAAAAAUGGAAGAAGAUUUAGAUUUAAUCAUGGAUGAUGAAAUGCAACACCACUAUGGAAAAGGUGCUGGCAAUCAUGCCCCACCACCAGUUAGAAGGGUAUUAGGCUCUUUCAUCAAUCCCAAUCUUGGGAAUUGUGGAAGUAACAUCUUCACACCCAAUGUGCAUGUAAACAAUUUUGAACUCAAAUCUCAGUUGAUCACCCUCGUUCAAAAUAACUGCCAAUUUAGAGGAGUUCAAGAAGACCCCAACGAGCAUUUGUCUACUUUCUUAAGGAUCAGUGAUACAGUGAAGAUAAAUGGGGUCCAUCAAGACACAUACAGAUUGCUUUUAUUCCCUUUCUCCCUAAGGGAUAAAGCAUACAAAUGGUUGGAGUCUUUUUCCAAAGAGAGCCUCACUGCUUGGGAUGAUGUGGUUAACAAAUUCUUGAUAAAAUUCUAUCUUUUUCAAAGGAUCAUUAGGUGCAAACAUUCAAGCAAUUGGAUGGAAAGACAUUGUAUGAAGCUUAAAAAAGGUACAAAGACUUGAUGAGAAAAUGAUUCUCAGUUAUGUUCAAUAAAUGGGUGCAGCUUUAGAUCUUCUAUGAAGGUGUAUCUUAAGAAGCAAAGAAGUCAUUAGGUCAUUUAUUUGGAGGCUCACUCCACACAAAGAUAACUCCCGAAGACGCAAUAGAACUCAUUGAGGCUGUGGUUAACAACUAAUACUAUUAUGCUUUUGAAAGGAGCAAUCAUUCAAGGAGGGGAGUGAUGGAGGUGAAUCACAUGGAUGCUUUACUAGUCCAAAACAAGCUGAUCACACAACAACUAGCAACCUUUACUAAGCACAUGAAGGUGGCACAAGUGUCAUCCAUCAAUACUCAAGCACCAGCCCAUACCAUACAUGAAGGAGCCAACUUAGAAGAAGAAUGUGAAUGGAAGCAAGCAAAUUUUGUAGGCGAUUCCUCUAGGCAACCUAAUGAUUCUCAUGCAAAGACCUAUAAUCUUGAAUGGAAAAACUACCAAAAUUUUGGGUGGGGAGGCUAACAAAAUCAAAACCAAGACCACAGAACACAAAACUCCAACCAUUCCAAAAUUUUAACUAGCAAUCCUCCAAUAAGAAGCAAUACCAAAACUCACACAAUACCACUUUCAAACCUCACCAUCAACUACAAAAUAGCCAUUUUCAACCUGACCAUCACCAACAAAAAAAACUAUUUCCAGCUUCCAAACCCCAACCCACUAUCACAAUCUCCUCUAAGGAUAGACUUUCAAGAAUAGAGAUCAUGCUUGGAAAACUUAUGGAGGAGUCAAGGGACAUGAAAGCAUUUAAGGAAGAAGUAAGAUCCAACAUACAGAAUCAAGGAGCCUCAAUUCAGAAAUUUAAAGCACAAGUUGGGUAUCUCUCCAAGCAAGUACCCAUGGCCACCCACACAUUCUUUAGUGAUACUAUGACUAAUCUAAGAUAAGAGUGUAGAGCCAUUACACUGAGAAGUAGAAAGAUAGUGAAGGAAACAUCUUCGAAGGAACUACAGGAAGACGAAAUUGAUAAGAACACAAGCAGUAAAGAAGAAGAGAAAGCACCUGCACCCACUCCACCAAAGGAGAAAGAAAUCUUGAAGCCUUAUGACCAAAAUGCUGAAGUAUUGGAGUUAUGCUAAGUUCUUGAAAGAACUUAUGACCAAUGCCUCAUUAUUUUAGGGAGACCAUUCCUAGCAACAGUUGGAGCUAUCAUCGAUGUGCAAAAA